rnacentral:lncRNA from 1 species
UGGAAAAGGCACAAAAUUAACAAACUCUGCCUAGAACAAAUUCCCUUCAAAAGCAGAGGAUUUGCGAAAUGAACAGAUUUAUGUCCUCCUAAGGUUUACAAGACAGCCUUGAUCAUUAUUGCAGCUGGUUGCAUCAAGCACUGAUCUUGCGCAGAGACCAAGCUUGCUGGUCCACAGGGUUCUAGAUACCAGAACAUUUUGCCACACUUCUAUGUUGGGGAAUAUGACACUUUGAGCUGUACUUCAAAAUUAGGUCAUAAGGUCUCUGGAUUUUGAGGUAGAUCAGAAUGGACUAAAUAGUGUACUUUACUACUGUUACCACACAGCAACUAAAUCUCUGCUAGUUCUGCAUUUUAUUUAAAACUAGUAUAUAUUCAUGAUUUUAUUCUCUAAAUAACUAUACUAGUUUCAUGACUUAAUACUGUGUUCCGUGAAGAACAGUUAACACUUGUUUUUGAGUUUGGUUGGCCUUCAUAUCUUGUACUUACUGAAAUCAAACUUUUCCCCACUAAGGUAUGAAGAAGAAAAGUUUAGAAAGAAACACAAAAGAAUUGACCAAGAGCUUGAUGGGAAACAAGAACAGAAAAGUGAACAAUAAGUUUGGAGUCCAGACAAGAAGGAAGACUGUGCAGGUGGAAUGAUCUGUUUUUUGUUUUUGCAUUUACAAUGCAUUCAUUAGCCUUUAUUAUGUAACCUGUUAUAAAAGGUGCCUUGAUAUAUCUCUGGACUUGUACACAAGGGACUGUUCUCUAAAGGAUUGGUUUGCAAAUCUUGGGUUUAAUUCUUGACUUUAAUAGCUACUUUACCAUGUAAUCAUUUUAUACUGUUAAAUGUCAAAGAACCAUAUGUUUAUAGGAGGCAUUCUUGCAAUUAUCUAAAUGAUGCAUGUUCUUCAGUAAAAUAUUUAUAUACCUAAAUGUUAAAGGAAAGAGAUAAUAUAUUUUUAUGACUCUUUGAGCAAUAUUUUAUAACGUUUGCUUGCAGAAUGAAUUCUUUUGCAAGUAGACAAGGCCAUAAAUGUGCGCUGUCAUUAUUUUGUAAAGUGCAUGAUGAAUGUUUUUUGCUGUAAAUAGUUAAUCCAUUUCCUGAGUGAUUUAGAAACCUAAUGAUUUUUAGAUGCUGGUGUUCACUUAGUGCAGUUGUCUCAGAAAUGUGAAGAUAAUCAUUUUUGUUCCUCUAUCUAAUACAAGUAGAACUCAUUUACACUGCCAGAAUGAUCUUGAGCUUUGGUGUCUUUGUUUUUCUUCAAAAUACAGAUUUGUGGCUCUGUGAAUUUCAGCUUAUUGGCUACUACCUUUUGGCCUAGUUAAGCCAUAUUGGGGACUAAAUAGUUCAAAUGACUAAUAGCAUAAUGAGCUUUUCAUCGUUAGGUCACUAGUUUAAAUUCUGCUCAGGUGUUUAGUAGAUAAAAGCUGUCUAGUCAGUGAUCAGUGUGAAAGGAACUCAGUCCUGUUACUCUUGGAUGAGUGUCAGUUGGCACUAAGUGAAACUGUGUUCAGU